rnacentral:misc_RNA from 1 species
GAUGAAGAACGUAGCGAAAUGCGAUAAGUAAUGUGAAUUGCAGAAUUCAGUGAAUCAUCGAAUCUUUGAACGCACAUUGCGCCCGCCAGUAUUCUGGCGGGCAUGCCUGUUCGAGCGUCAUUUCAACCAUCAAGCCCCCGGGCUUGUGUUGGGGACCUGCGGCUGCCGCAGGCCCUGAAAAGCAGUGGCGGGCUCGCUGUCACACCGAGCGUAGUAGAUUUUAUCUCGCUCUGGGCGUGCUGCGGGUUCCGGCCGUUAAACCACCCUUUUAACCCAAGGUUGACCUCGGAUCAGGUAGGAAUACCCGCUGAACUUAAGCAUAUCAAUAAGCGGAGGA